UUCACAGGCAUUUCAGUGACUACAACAGUGAGUAUUUAGGCAAUACAUAAUUAUGAAUGUUAAAUAUAUGAGGGUCAAGAGUGUUAAAUAUAUGAGGGUCAAGUGGUCCUCUUGCCCACAUUAGGGUGGUGUGGGGGACAAUAGCUGUCUUCCCGUAAGUGAAAAGUUGUGAAGUAGAAAAAUAUAGCUCAGUAUGGCUCAAUACAGUGCACCAGGAAGGGAUGGUAGAAAUGUGUAAAAACCAUGGUAAUUGAGAGUCUAUGAUUUGACUUUGGAUUUUUAUUUACUUACAACAGUGAUUAGAGUUAUAAGAAAUAUCCUAUCUAUAUUUUGUAGUAGUGACAUUUGCUUUAUGCUUCUGGAAGCAAAGCAGAAAUCAUGCCCUGUUUGUUUCCAUCAUGAUGAAGCACCUUGUACCCUAAGAUUAACCAAAAAUAACAGCGUUACCCUGUCAAUUUCUGGUCCCAAAAUAAUGAAACAUUGAGUAUUUCUUAUAAUCCCAGAUCCCCAGCAAACACCAUUUUAUUCUUGACUUUUAUUUAGCUCAUGUUGCAAGAUCUUUCUGAAUAUGAUCAUCAUGUGAUAAGAUUUUGUUUUUUCUCCAUGAACAAAUUAAUGCAAACUUAGUAAUCAUGGUAAUCUUCUUUAUAUUUUUCUUUAAAUACCUGUUAUAUUUUUCACUUGCUUAUCCAGUUUUUCUGAAGUCUGACUCCCUUGAACCUUUUCAAGUAAACUCUUUUUCUUUUCAAAAUGCUUUGGCUCUGACUCUUCCUUUGAAAUUUUUGGGGAAAAAAUGUUCUCUGAUCUUAAAAGGGAUUGUAAGAAAACAUGAAAAGCCUCUCACUGUUGUUGAUGUUUCAUUAAUUUGUUGCUCUGUUUGGCACUGUCAAUUUAAAAUAAAUUUCUAUGCCUCUUUCAGCAAUCAAA
rnacentral:lncRNA from 1 species